AUGCGCCACUGACAGCUUGUCCCCUAGAUACUCCAUCACAGUCCAAGCAAGCCACACAAAACCAGCUGUGUCACGAUGGUCUGUGAGCUGAGCUGUUAUCCCAGCAACAAGGAAUCAUUAAGAGUGCAGCCUCACUCACCAGCUUCCCUUCGCCUAAGACCAUGAUGUCAGCACACAACCAUCACCUCAUCUCUGUGACUCUGAGGACCCUCCCUCCAGCAAAGCUGCUAAAGCCAAACUUACCCAGGUUUGGUGAUCCUGUUCUCUGUGAGCGCUACGACUCCUUAUUCUAAAAAGACUUUUCUCAAGAGCAACACCAGAGGGGGCUGAUCUACGUGACAUACUGCGAGACCGCAU